UGGUAGGCCAUUUUGACCACUGAAGUGUU
rnacentral:piRNA from 1 species